GUCAUACUAGUGAUCAGAAAAUUUAAGAAUUUUAGGGCAACUUUUCUAUACUAUGGCUGUGUUACAGUCUGAACAGGAGGCAUUUUAUCUUUCAAGUUGAAUGAUUACUGUCAUUGUUUUACCAAGUUGGUUGAAACACGUAUUUGUACUACUUUUUUAAAAGUGCUUUUUAAAGUUAUAUGAAAACCAAGUAGAUAGUGAUGAACUCUUAAAAAUUAGAAUACUUGCCAGAUUAAAAGAAGAUGAAGUGUAGAAUAGUGCUAAUAAAAUCAUGAGUCACCAAACUGGUACGACUUUCCAGGCUAAGUUGGUUAUAACUGCUAAUGUAAGACAAAUUUUAGUAUUAUGUUGUGUGUACCUAAUGGAUGAAUCAUACUGGCACUGAACACAAGAAAUAACUGUUGAUGCAGAGAGCACCAUGCAUCCUUCCUGCCCACAAAGGCACAUGUCCGCUAUCCUGAUCACACAACCACAACUUUGGUCAUUUCUUCAAUAUUUGUAUAAUCUUAGCCAUUAGUUCUAUGAGAAAUAGUCACAAAAGCAAAUAAUUCAGGAUGGAAUCUAGCAGAAAGCUAGGAAUGGUGUGAUAUAAUGCAGCAUAGCACAGAAACCAGAGGUUCUAAGUUUUGCUUCUGAAUUUUGAGAGAAUGUGUUCCUAAUGUUUACAAAUUAAACCAUAUUUGUCUGCUAUUAUGCUACUAUAACUAAUAUAGAUUUUACCAAAAAAUAGAAGUAGGUGUAGCUUAAAGUAUAAGAGAGCCCUUUUUUAAAAUUGUGUAUUUGAAGGUAGGUCUAAUAAAGAGAUCCUUUUACUUUCAGAGAGAAAUGAACCUAAUUGGACAAUCUGUUCCCAGCUACAGAAUUGAUAUCAAUCUGGGUUGCUGUGUUUGAGUUGUAAACAGCUCAGUAUUAUAUUAGAGGAAAUUUUUUACACCUUCAUUAAUUACAAAAUUUACCAAAGAAAAUCUUACCAAAUAAAAAUUUUAAACCACUUGUUAAGGAAUGAAUCCCCUUUAACAUAAGGACUGCUUUCUAACCAUGGGGAAAUAAACAUUAAAAGGUUCUUUGGCCUGGAAAAUAGGUGUACAGAAGCUACAAGAUUCCAUUUGAGGUUUUCCUAUGUCAGCAACAUGUCAGUAUUCCAGCAAAAGUACAAGUUAAAAGAUAAGUCCAAAUAUUAUUAUUCCUUAUGGCACAUUUUUGUCUCCUUAACAAAAAUUAAGGAGUCUGCUCAUCAGUAUUGAAUAAAAAGAGGUGUAUUAUAGAUAUUGUGGGUUAUGAUAUAUGAUAUUGUGGGUUUUUCAAAUAAAAUUUUCAAAAUUAUGGAAAUACACCUCUUUCAACGGGCAGUGGCAAUUUCCAAUAAAUAUGAUAUUGAUUAAACUAGUACGGUUUGUUUACAUAAUUUACAUGUUCACUCUGGGUUUUUUCUUUGCAUAAAACAUGAUUGGGUUAAUAAAAGCUAAAAUAAAUUCAUUUCUUAAAUGUAUAGACCAAAAAGAACUAAAGAUUUAUUUAAGCUGUUAAAUAAUGAUUUUAAAGUCAUGAAAUAUAAUUGUACGUUACCUGAUAAAAGUUCUGCAUAUUUUUUUUAAAUGAUGAUAAUUAUAAAGUCAUGAAUAUAAUGAUCAGUUAUUUUGAAAAAGAAAAUUGGCUUUCUAAUAAUCCCUACCUACAGGUUUGGUUUUUACCAUCCAAAAUGAAUUAAUAUAUGUUCCAUGUGUUACUUUAAAAUAUAAACUACUCUACAUUGAAUCUAUUCUUACUCUAAAAUUUGGGCUGGAUUUAAAUUCAGUUUAACUGGUUAAAUGAAAUGAUUUUACCGUGCUGAUUAUUUUUCCUCAAGAUAAUUUGGCUAUCCUGAGCUACAAUUUCUAAAGGAUUUUUACUACUUUGGCUUUAUGUAAUCUGUUCUCUGUAACAAGGGACAAGUAAACAAGAAAUGUCCCACUCAUGUUUGCUUCAUAAAAGGAUAUGGAAUGUGUACAUCAGGGGUUUGUGUUUUCUUUUUUUAAACCAGCAUCAGCCUAUAGCUUUGCUGUAAACUUUCCAAGUAUUGAGCGAAUGGUGCUGGUGAAAAUUUAAAUAGGUUUGUAGAAAUUCUCUCUACUGAGUGAUGUCCUCUCAACCUAGGACUAGUGAUAAUCUUCAUCUUUUGAGCUGAAGAAAAAAACUGCACAUUUAAGAUCAUAUUUAUUGGUGCAUGUAAGCCGUUAUCCUGUCUUACAGAACUGAUUAAUGCUGUUGAUUGUUGAAAUGUGAAAUGUAGUCAGUCACUGUUCAUCUUGUAAAUAUCUGCCAGAGAUGAAAAAAUAUUUUAAGUUAUUGUAAAUAAAGAUGUAUAAAGUUCAGUGUCAGUCUGCAAUGCAGAAACAUAAUCUAAGAUGUUAAAUACUGUGUUUCUUGACAGUUGUGUAAUACUAGGUGUAUCUAGUUAUAUUAAUGUAAAUUUUCUUUUGUACAGUAUAAAAAUACAGCUCUAUUUGGC
ensembl:lncRNA